rnacentral:rRNA from 1 species
GCUUACGGCCAUACCACUCUGAACACGCCCGAUCUCGUCCGAUCUCGGAAGCUAAGCAGGGUCGGGCCUGGUUAGUACUUGGAUGGGAGACCGCCUGGGAAUACCAGUGCUGUAAGCU